rnacentral:rRNA from 1 species
UUGACCUCGGAUCAGGUAGGGAUACCCGCUGAACUUAAGCAUAUCAAUAAGCGGAGGAAAAGAAACCAACAGGGAUUGCCUCAGUAACGGCGAGUGAAGCGGCAACAGCUCAAAUUUGAAAUCUGGCUCCCCGCGGGGGUCCGAGUUGUAAUUUGCAGAAGGUGCCUCCGGGGCGGCGAUGGUCUAAGUUCCCUGGAACGGGGCGUCAUAGAGGGUGAGAAUCCCGUACGCGACCGCCCGCCAACUCGAUGCGAGGCCCUUUCGACGAGUCGAGUUGUUUGGGAAUGCAGCUCAAAAUGGGUGGUAAAUUUCAUCUAAAGCUAAAUACCGGCCAGAGACCGAUAGCGCACAAGUAGAGUGAUCGAAAGAUGAAAAGCACUUUGGAAAGAGAGUUAAAAAGUAUGUGAAAUUGUUGAAGGGGAAGCGCUUGCAACCAGACUCGCCCGCGGGUGAUCAGCCUCCCUCCGGGGUGGUGCACUCAUCCGCGAUCGGGCCAGCAUCGGUUUCGACCGCCGGAAGAAGGCUCGGGGAACGUAGCUCCCUCCGGGGAGUGUUAUAGCCCCUUGCGCAAUGCGGCGUGCCGGGACCGAGGACCGCGCGUAUGCAAGGAUGCUGGCGUAAUGGUUGCCAGCGACCCGUCUUGNAAACACGG